GACAACGGCCAUGCCACCCUGAACAAGCCCGAUCUUGUCUGAUCUCGGAAGCUAAGCGGAGUUGGGCCUGGUUAGUACUUGGAUGGGAGACCACCUAGGAAGACCAGGUGCUGUAGGCA
rnacentral:rRNA from 1 species